rnacentral:rRNA from 1 species
UCGGAUUGUAGUCUGCAACCCGACUACAUGAAGCUGGAAUCGCUAGUAAUCGCGGAUCAGAAUGCCGCGGUGAAUACGUUCCCGGGUCUUGUACACACCGCCCGUCACACCAUGAGAGCCGGGAACACCCGAAGUCCGUAGUCUAACCAUUAAGGAGGACGCGGCCGAAGGUGGGUUUGGUAAUUGGGGUGAAGUCGUAACAAGGUACC